GACGAAGGGGGCUAGCGUUGUUCGGAAUUACUGGGCGUAAAGCGAGUGUAGGUGGUUGUCCAAGUUGGAUGUGAAAGCCUUGAGCUCAACUCAAGAAAUGCAUUCAGGACUGGGCGGCUAGAGGACCGGAGAGGAUAGUGGAAUUCCCAGUGUAGUGGUGAAAUACGUAGAGAUUGGGAAGAACACCAGUGGCGAAGGCGGCUAUCUGGACGGUUUCUGGCACUAAGACUCGAAAGCGUGGGGAGCAAACAGG
rnacentral:rRNA from 1 species